UUUUGAUUAAUGAUUAGUUUAAGAAAAAGAAAUUAACACCCUAGGGUUUUUUUUAUGGUUAGUUUUUUACCAAAAUAAGUGUUCAAUACAUAGAUGUAAAAUUAGUUAGAAAUUAUGCAAUUUAUGUCAAAAACUUCAACCAUACAUAACUAGUCAGCAUUAUUUUACAUUUGUACUGAAAUUGUUAGAAAAUCUUAGAAAUUGAAGCAACAGUCUUGAGACACAUUGUUUUUGGACUUUUCAUAUGAAAAUAUAGUGGUUAACAUGUCAAGUUAAAAAUAAUUCGGAAAAUGUGUGUUAAGAAAUUUGAAAAA
rnacentral:lncRNA from 1 species